rnacentral:rRNA from 1 species
GAUGAACGCUGGCGGCGUGCCUAAUACAUGCAAGUCGAGCGAACAGACGAGGAGCUUGCUCCUCUGACGUUAGCGGCGGACGGGUGAGUAACACGUGGAUAACCUACCUAUAAGACUGGGAUAACUUCGGGAAACCGGAGCUAAUACCGGAUAAUAUAUUGAACCGCAUGGUUCAAUAGUGAAGGACGGUUUUGCUGUCACUUAUAGAUGGAUCCGCGCCGCAUUAGCUAGUUGGUAAGGUAACGGCUUACCAAGGCAACGAUGCGUAGCCGACCUGAGAUGGUGAUCGGCCACACUGGAACUGAGACACGGUCCAGACUCCUACGGGAGGCAGCAGUAGGGAAUCUUCCGCAAUGGGCGAAAGCCUGACGGAGCAACGUCGCGUGAGUGAUGAAGGUCUUCGGAUCGUAAAACUCUGUUAUUAGGGAAGAACAAAUGUGUAAGUAACUAUGCACGUCUUGACGGUACCUAAUCAGAAAGCCACGGCUAACUACGUG